CAGUAGCCGCGGUAAUACGGAGGGAGCUAGCGUUGUUCGGAAUUACUGGGCGUAAAGCGCACGUAGGCGGCUUUGUAAGUUAGAGGUGAAAGCCUGGAGCUCAACUCCAGAAUUGCCUUUAAGACUGCAUCGCUUGAAUCCAGGAGAGGUGAGUGGAAUUCCGAGUGUAGAGGUGAAAUUCGUAGAUAUUCGGAAGAACACCAGUGGCGAAGGCGGCUCACUGGACUGGUAUUGACACUGAGGUGCGAAAGCGUGGGGAGCAAACAGGAUUAGAUACCCCAGUAGUCCCUGUCUCUUAUAC
rnacentral:rRNA from 1 species